AGAUUUGGUGUGAAAGUGGUUGUUUUUAUUUCCAGUAUGGGGCCCAAAUGAGUGAUUGCAGGGAGGCAGCAGGAACACAGUUAUAUCUACACGGAUGCUUAUGCGAACCAAAUAUGAGACAUCACGGAGAUUGGCGUUUGUCCUGCGUACAGCUGGUGGGCCCGGCCUCUCCUUGACACGACAGGAAAAAAUGUCACAGAAUAAAACAGGAAACACUCUCUU